CUAACCGUAAACGAUGACAACCAGCGAUUAAUNGGCGUUAAUAUAUGACCCGAUUAGCAGCUUCCGGGAAACCAAAGUUUUUCGUUUCCGGGGGAAGUAUGGUUGCAAAGCUGAAACUUAAAGGAAUUGACGGAAGGGCACCACCAGGAGUGGAGCCUGCGGCUUAAUUUGACUCAACACGGGAAAACUCACCCGGCCCGGACACCGUAAGGAUUGACAGACUGAGAGCUCUUUCUUAAUUCGGUGGGUGGUGGUGCAUGGCCGUUCUUAGUUGGUGGAGCGAUUUGUCUGGUUAAUUCCGAUAACGAACGAGACUCUGGCCUAUUAAAUAGACGAUAUAUUUAAAAGUAUAUCGCGCUUCUUAGAGGGACAAGCGGCGUCUAGCCGCAUGAAAUAGAGCAAUAACAGGUCUGUGAUGCCCUUAGAUGUCCGGGGCUGCACGCGCGCUACACUGAAAGAAUCAGUGUGCGUUACGCCUAGUUCGGAAGAACCGGGUAACCCAAGUAAAUUCUUUCGUGCUUGGGAUAGGGAAUUGCAAUUAUUUCCCUUAAACGAGGAAUUCCCAGUAAAUGCGGGUCAUAAGCUCGCGUUG
rnacentral:rRNA from 1 species